AAUCGAUGCAGGAAUCGCUAGUAAUCGCAGAUCAGCAGGUCGUAGCUGCGGUGAAUACGUUCCCGGGCCUUGUACACACCGCCCGUAACCACACCAUGGGAGUUGACUGCACCAGAUGCUCUACGAGUGGAUAGUCUAACCUUCGGGAGGACGUUCACCACGGUGUGGUUAAGCGCUACGUGACUGGGGUGAAGUCGUAACAACGGGUAGCCCGAUAACCUGCGGCUGGAUCACUACGAC
rnacentral:rRNA from 1 species